UACGAAGGGGGCUAGCGUUGUUCGGAAUUACUGGGCGUAAAGAGUGUGUAGGCGGUGCUCUAAGUUCGGUGUGAAAUCUCCCGGCUCAACUGGGAGGGUGCGCCGAAAACUGGGGUGCUGGAGCGCGGGAGAGGAAAGCGGAAUUCCUGGUGUAGCGGUGAAAUGCGUAGAUAUGCGGAGGAACACCGAUGGCGAAGGCAAUCCCCUGGGCCUGCACCUGACGCUCAUGCACGAAAGCGUGGGAGC
rnacentral:rRNA from 1 species